rnacentral:rRNA from 1 species
UACGGGGGGGGCAAGCGUUUGUUCGGAAUUACUGGGCGUAAAGGGUGUGUAGGCGGUUCUUUAAGUUUGGUGUGAAAUCUCCCGGCUCAACCGGGAGGGUGCGCCGAAUACUGAGGGACUCGAGUGCGGGAGAGGAAAGUGGAAUUCCUGGUGUAGCGGUGAAAUGCGUAGAUAUCAGGAGGAACACCGGUGGUGUAGACGGCUUUCUGGACCGUAACUGACGCUGAGACGCGAAAAGCGUGGGUAGCAAACAGG